CGGAGCGGAGGUGGGAGAGGUGCGUGGGGCGGCCGGGUCGCGAGGGGUCUCUUUGCGGUGCCGGGGCCCCUCUGCGGCCCGGCGUGGGAAGCCCGUGGCCGGCGGAGCCUGCUCGGAGCUGGGCGGGGAGCGCCGCGGCGGUCCGGCCGCAGGCAGCCAUCCCCUGCGGUGGCCGGCAGCCCCUCGGGACUCCUGGAGGCCUGGCGGCUCCCGAUCCUCGUCUGCGGCAGCCGCCUGAGAGAGCAGCGCGGCCGUAGCCGGGGGCCGGAGAGCGCUGGUGGGUGCAGGUGGAUGAGUCGUGCAGGGCAACGGAGGAGAGCCCAGGGGAGCGCUGGAAGAAGGUGACAGCCCUGCGAUGCUGCGGUGCCUGCGAGGUGAUGCCGCCGUGCUCGUUGCUGCUUCCUGGUAAGGAAAGGCCUCCUCCGCUCCUGCUGCAGCGUGGUGGUGUGUCGGACACGAUUCCCUGUGUCGGGUGAGGCCUAGGGCUGCCGGUGAGGUGAGCGAGCCCCUUUGGUGGGUGCCGGGGUGUCUCCUUGUGUGCCUGCACUACUGGGGCUGGUGGGAUGGGAAGCUUCAAACGACCUGCCGAGGCAGGCUUCUGGUAUGCUAAAGGCGAGCGGGUGAGGGCAGCCCCAGGAGUUACCCGGGAGCUGAUAGAAGGGAAGAGGGAAAGGAGGAGGAGGAUGAUGACAUUUUCCCCCUGCCCAGGGUGCAGAAGAUAGCCGACUCCCCAGCUCACCAGAGCUCCCCCUCAGCCUCCCCUGGCCCCACUUGCCCCGUGCUCCUGCCCCCAGCUCCGGCACGAGCGAGCUAGGCUACGUGCCUAGGAAGCCUCAUCUCGUAA